UGGGGAAUAUUGGACAAUGGGGGCAACCCUGAUCCAGCCAUGCCGCGUGAGUGAUGAAGGCCUUCGGGUUGUAAAGCUCUUUUGGCGGGGACGAUGAUGACGGUACCCGCAGAAUAAGCCCCGGCUAACUUCGUGCCAGCAGCCGCGGUAAGACGAAGGGGGCUAGCGUUGUUCGGAAUUACUGGGCGUAAAGCGAGUGUAGGCGGUUGCCGUAGUCAGGUGUGAAAGCCUUGAGCUCAACUCAAGAAAAUGCACUUGAUACUGGGUGACUAGAGGACCGGAGAGGAUAGUGGAAUUCCCAGUGUAGUGGUGAAAAUACGUAGAGAUUGGGAAGAACACCAGUGGCGAAGGCGGCUAUCUGGACGGUUACUGACGCUAAGACUCGAAAGCGUGGGGAGCAAAACAGGAUUAGAUACCCUGGUAGUCCACGCCGUAAACGAUGGGUGCUAGACGUUGGCGAGCUUGCUCGUCAGUGUCGCAGCUAACGCGUUAAGCACCCCGCCUGGGGAGUACGGCCGCAAAGGUUGAAAACUCAAAAGGAAUUGACGGGGUCAUAGCUGUUUCCU
rnacentral:rRNA from 1 species